UACGUAGGGUGCGAGCGUUAAUCGGAAUUACUGGGCGUAAAGUAUGCGCAGGCGGCCGAGCAAGUCGAGUGUGAAAGCCCCGGGCUUAACUUGGGAAUUGCGCUCGAAACUACUUGGCUGGAGUGUGGCAGAGGAAGGUGGAAUUCCAGGUGUAGCGGUGAAAUGCGUAGAGAUCUGGAGGAACACCGAUGGCGAAGGCAGCCUUCUGGGCCAACACUGACGCUCAUGCACGAAAGCGUGGGGAGCAAACAGG
rnacentral:rRNA from 1 species